CCGUAACCACAGACUCAUGUAAAGGGACGUGCCACACCAGUGCAAAUUGUCUACUGAACGUAGCAGAUAAUUCAUAUUACUGUAGAUGUGCAGCUGGUUACCAGGGCAACGGUACAUACUGUACAGCGGUGAACGCUUGCGCGAAGGAUAAUGGCGGAUGCUCCUCCAGCGCUGUGUGUAAGAUAACUAUCCCUGGACG